rnacentral:rRNA from 1 species
AUUCCAGCUCCAAUAGCGUAUAUUAAAGUUGUUGCAGUUAAAAAGCUCGUAGUUGGAUUUCUGGUAGGAGCGACCGUUCCGGACUUGAUUGUUUGUGUAUUGUGUUGUCUCCAGCCAUCCUUGUGGAGAACUUUUCUUGCAUUAAUUUGUAGGGAUUGAGACCCGCAUCGUUUACUGUGAAAAAAUUAGAGUGUUUAAAGUAGGCAAUCGCUUGAAUACAUUAGCAUGGAAUAAUAAGAUAGGACUUUGGUACUAUUUUGUUGGUUUGCAUACCAAAUUAAUGAUCAACAGGAACAGUUUGAGGAUAUUCGUAUGAACAUGUCAGAGGUGAAAUUCUUGGAUUUUGAUCAGACGAACUACUGCGAAAGCAUUUAUCAAGGAUGUUUUCAUCG